UACGAAGGGGGCUAGCGUUGCUCGGAAUCACUGGGCGUAAAGCGCACGUAGGCGGAUUGCUAAGUCAGGGGUGAAAUCCUGGAGCUCAACUCCAGAACUGCCUUUGAUACUGGUGAUCUUGAGUCCGAGAGAGGUGAGUGGAACUGCGAGUGUAGAGGUGAAAUUCGUAGAUAUUCGCAAGAACACCAGUGGCGAAGGCGGCUCACUGGCCCGGUACUGACGCUGAGGUGCGAAAGCGUGGGGAGCAAACAGG
rnacentral:rRNA from 1 species